GGCCGCGUGGCCUAAUGGCUAAGGCGUCAGAUUUCGGUUCUGUUCCGGCUCUCUGAAGAUUCCAGGUUCGACUCCUGGCGUGGUCG